CCAGCACCGCACCUUGCGAACCUACUGAAGUCAAGGUUAAAAAUCCUCGUGGGAACAUACUCCUACACUUCGAUGAUUUAAACAGGUGAUAGUUGGGGAAACCUUCAGAGACUGGCUC